rnacentral:rRNA from 1 species
GACGAACGCUGGCGGCGUGCCUAAUACAUGCAAGUCGAGCGGACGAAUCGAAAGCUUUCUUUUGCUUCGUUAGCGGCGGACGGGUGGGUAACACGUGUGCAACCUGCCCUGUAGACGGGGAUAACACCGAGAAAUCGGUGCUAAUACCGGAUAACACGAAAUGUCUCAUGACGUUUCGUUUAAAGACGGCGCAAGCUGCCGCUACAGGAUCGGCCCGCGGCGCAUGAGCUAGUUGGUGAGGUAACGGCUCACCAAGGCGACGAUACGUACCCGACCUGAGAGGGUGGUCGGCCACACUGGGAGUGAGACACGGCCCAGACUCCUACGGGAGGAAGCAGUAGGGAAUCUUCCGCAAUGGACGAAAGUCUGACGGAGCAACGCCGCGUGAGCGAAGAAGGCCUUCGGGUCGUAAAGCUCUGUUGUUAGGGAAGAACAAGUAACGCAGUAACUGGCGUUACCGUGACGGUACCUAACGAGAAAGCCACGGCUAACUACGUG